ACUCCUGCGGGAGGCAGCAGUGGGGAAUAUUGGACAAUGGGCGCAAGCCUGAUCCAGCCAUGCCGCGUGAGUGAUGAAGGCCCUAGGGUUGUAAAGCUCUUUCACCGGUGAAGAUAAUGACGGUAACCGGAGAAGAAGCCCCGGCUAACUUCGUGCCAGCAGCCGCGGUAAUACGAAGGGGGCUAGCGUUGUUCGGAUUUACUGGGCGUAAAGCGCACGUAGGCGGACUAUUAAGUCAGGGGUGAAAUCCCGGGGCUCAACCCCGUAACUGCCUUUGAUACUGGUAGUCUUGAGUUCGAGAGAGGUGAGUGGAAUUCCGAGUGUAGAGGUGAAAUUCGUAGAUAUUCGGAGGAACACCAGUGGCGAAGGCGGCUCACUGGCUCGAUACUGACGCUGAGGUGCGAAAGCGUGGGGAGCAAACAGGAUUAGAAACCCCAGUAGUCCC
rnacentral:rRNA from 1 species